rnacentral:rRNA from 1 species
UACAGAGGUGGCAAGCGUUGUUCGGAAUUACUGGGCGUAAAGCGUGCGCAGGCGGUUUGCUAAGACAGGUGUGAAAUCCCCGGGCUUAACCUGGGAACUGCGCUUGUAACUGGCAAGCUUGAGUGUGGCAGAGGGGGGUGGAAUUCCACGUGUAGCAGUGAAAUGCGUAGAGAUGUGGAGGAACACCGAUGGCGAAGGCAGCCCCCUGGGCUAACACUGACGCUCAUGCACGAAAGCGUGGGGAGCAAACAGG